GCGGGAUGCACUUGAGCUAUGAAUCCACCUUGUUCUUUGGCUCAAGAACUAAAAUGAUCUUUCCAAAUGGAUGGACGGUGUGGAUACAACGCAUACAUCAUGGUGGGGCCCACAGAACUUGGCGACGUGACUUAAGUAGCGAAGCUCGCUACUCAAAACUCGUAACUCGGUUAGUAGCUAAUCUGUAUGCCCCUCUCCCCAAAAUCAGAAAACCCUAACGCCCCCAAAUCUCUCUCUCUCUCUCUCUCUCUCUCUCUCUCUCUCUCUCUCUCCAAGGGUCAAAUACAUUCAUCACUUAUCUCUGAAAAGUUCCAAUUUGGUGGAGUUCAAGUGCUGUUCUGCCAUGUGAAUUGGCCAUAUUGCAAAACACAGGAGCUUGGAAAAUCCUAGCCAUCUGAUGAGUGGCCUGACCAGCGAACGCUUAUGGAUAGUGGUCUGCAUUCAACUGGUAAGACCCAACGAUGGCCAGAGAUCCAAGCCAUCCAUCAGACAACACACUGAACAUGAGCAGGUUCUCCAGAUUCACGGUUUGCAUUCCACAAACAUCACAUUCAUUGGUGGACCCAACACAGUUCGGAUGCUAAUUUAUGUUAUCAUUCCCGUUUUGAAAUUUGAACAUGGCUGGAGAACAAGGGUUCUCUUUGCUUCCCUUUUGUCUUCUCAUCUUUUAAGCAUUUUAGUUGCUGCAUCUUUUGGGGCACUCUAAUGUGUUCCAGAUUGGAUGAAGGGAUGCUUGUCUAUUGUUGAUGAUAUGUGACACGACAGGGAUGAUGUGGCCCCGACACCAUGGGACACAAAUCUUGACUGAGGAAAGUCACAAAGAUUUGAGGUGUUGAUACCAGUUCAUUACAAUGGUAUAGGACAGGUAGUUGAUGGGAUGCUUGGAUACCUUCUUUUUCUUAGGGCCAGUUUGGCGCAUGGAAUUAGAUGGAUUUACGUGGGAUGGAAUUGGAUAUCCUUCAUUUAUUACUUCCGUCAGUGGUUGUCUACAAACCUGCCUUGAAACAGUUGUACCAACUUCUAUUGGAGCUGCCCUGGAUAUAAAUCUGAGCAAUGUGUCCUUCGUUUUCAUAUUCGUGACAUUUGCCACCAUGUUUGCUGCAAUUGUCGUUGUAUUCUAUAGUUACAGUGUUGAUAGCUUUCUUUUGCACCAUUGCUGUCAGCUAUGUAGGUUAUUCUAUUCCUCCCUCCGUCUCAUUUCUUUUUUGUUCUUGUCUUGUUAGUCGCAUCAUAAUGUUGUGUCCCUACUCCUUACAAUGCUGAUUUUGCAUGCUUCACUUCAGAAGUUGACUCCUCCUAAGCUACAGGCCCGAGCAGAUGGAUCUAAAAGAUUUCAGAAAAAACAAAUACAGCACUUGAAUUUCACACCAGUGAUACUAGCAUUCCCUACAAUUAUAAAGGGAAUCGCCAGAUGCUUUGGUGAUUAGUCAGUUGGAGGUCAGUUUCAUAUGCUUUCAACUUUUUCACAACUUAGAUAUCGUUAGUUGAGAGAAAUCUAUCAUAUGAUCCUAGUGUGGUUUGGUCAUUGGGUGGUUUUAUACACUUUCAACUCUAGUAUAAAAUUUUGUCAAUAUUUACUGCUGGUUGUUUACUCUUUUUUUUGUUGGCAUGGAUGGUUUAGAUUGUUCCAAUGGACUGCCCAGGUGAAUAGCUCCAUGUGAUUAAGAUAUGCUCUCUUGCUCUCAUAUUAUGAUUUUGAUGUGUAUAUAUAUUCAAUGAGUUUUCACAAUCACUCGUUUGAAUGGUCAUAUAUGCCCAAGUAUUAUGAUUUUGAUGUGUAUAUAUAUGCUUUCAUGUGUACCAGAUUUAAAAAACAAAUGUAAAGUUUUCUUUUUUGGCAGAAAUUUUACCAAAUGACUGCCCAAGUGAACAGCUACACUGGUUGAGAUAUGCUUUCUUGCCUUUACAUGUCUACACAUGAUUAAGAUAUGCUUUAUUGCCUAUACAUGUCUACACGUGAUUGAGGGCAACGGAAUUGAAUUUGUA